CAGCCGCCGCGGUAAUACGUAUGGGGCAAGCGUUAUCCGGAUUUAUUGGGCGUAAAGAGCGCGUAGGCGGAUUGUUAAGCGAGAUGUGAAAACCGGGGGCUCAACCCGCGGCUUGCAUCUCGAACUGGCAGUCUAGAGUUUGGUAGAGGAGUGUGGAAUUCCCAGUGUAGCGGUGGAAUGCUUAGAUAUUGGGAGGAACACCAGUGGCGAAGGCGGCACUCUGGGCCAUAACUGACGCUAAGGCGCGAAAGCUAGGGGAGCAAACAGGAUUAGAUACCCUGGUAGUCCUAGCCGUAAACGAUGGGCACUAGGUGUGGGGAGUACUCUCUCCGUGCCGCAGCUAACGCAUUAAGUGCCCCGCCUGGGGAGUACGGCCGCAAGGCUAAAACUCAAAGGAAUUGACGGGGGCCCGCACAAGCAGCGGAGCAUGUGGCUUAAUUCGAAGCAACGCGAAGAACCUUACCAGGGCUUGACAUUUUGGUGAAGCGGCGGAAACGUCGUGGCCGAAAGGAGCCAAAACAGGAGGUGCAUGGCC
rnacentral:rRNA from 1 species